rnacentral:rRNA from 1 species
AGCGAACGUUUGCGGCGGGCCUAACACAUGCAAGUCGAACGCACUAGCAAUAGUGAGUGGCGCACGGGUGCGUAACACGUGGGUAAUCAACCCUUCAGCCUGGGAUAACGACUCGAAAGGGUCGCUAAUACCGGAUACGGCGCGAGAGGCUUCGGCUUCUCACGAGAAAGCCACGCAAGGGGCACUGAAGGACGAGCCUGCGGCCCAUCAGCUAGUUGGUGAGGUAAGAGCUCACCAAGGCUAAGACGGGUAGCUGGUCUGAGAGGAUGAUCAGCCACACUGGAACUGAGACACGGUCCAGACUCCUACGGGAGGCAGCAGUGGGGAAUAUUGCGCAAUGGGCGAAAGCCUGACGCAGCCACGCCGCGUGAGCGAUGAAGGCCUGGUCGUAAGCUCUGUGGGAGGAGACGAAGAAAGACCUGUGAGAGCAGGCCUUGACGGUAGUCUCCUUAGCAAGCACCGGCUAACUCCGUG